CGCCCGGCUCUGCCGCCGCUCCGCUCCGCCAACCGCGCCUGCACGGCCAGCCGCUUGAUUUUGACCUGUUCUCCAGUUGCUCCGUGCUUCCCGGCAGGAAUUUCCCUGGGAAGCGGCGUGGGGGAGGGAUUGCCGCUUGGGUUCGCCCUGGCGAGCGAGGGUGGAAGUCACAUCCGCGAACAAGUGACAGGCACGGGGGCUUGCGGUGCGAACACAGGCGUGUGCCCUCCGUGCAGGGUUUGUUGCUGUCCUGUCGCCUGGCUGGCCUCGCUGCGCUCCCUGUGAGGGCCGAGAACAGAGGGUGGAGAAAAGGGAAGUUCAGCAGUGGGACGGGAAUGAGAGAGGAAACUCCACAAGUGCGACCUGCUGGGCUGAAACGCUGAGUUGUGAAAGCUCAGCUCACACUUCCCAGAUCGGGAUAAAUCCCUCUCAUGGAGAGGGGGAGGAGCUGGGCUUCUGAGAACCCUCCUGGAAAAGGGAUCUGUUCAAACAAGACUUGAAAAGUCUGGCUGGGAAGCAAAUGUAAAUAGAAACCUGCGGCUGAGACUUGCAAGGGAUGUUUUAAUAAAUAAAUUCAUUUGGA